rnacentral:ncRNA from 3 species
AUGCUACUGGGGGAGCCGAAGCUCCCCCAAAGUGCGUGCUCUUAUUUUUAUUGUCUGAUGGGCUUUUUAUUGUUGUUGACCGCCCAAUUCACGGCUUUCGCCUGUGAAACCUCCCAAUCGGGAGUCAAGAGCAAACGGAUUGCUUUGGUCGCUGUGCGGCAGUGAUCUAUCGAUCCAACCAGUUCAGGCUCUACCUAAGGGUAGUU